rnacentral:lncRNA from 1 species
UUUUUAAACAUCAAACAAUCAACCCAAUUACCCAUUCCCGUUAUCCUCACAUUACGUCCCUAAAACAUCUAACACAAGGGACCUAGUCUAAGGACUAUCAUUGGGAUGGACACUAUUGCUAAGGGGAUUCCUUGGCAAUGAAAGUCCUAAAGGCAACCAUGUGGGGGAUGGAGUAUACCUGGUGAGCACACAGUUCGAAUAAACACACAGUUCGAAUAAACACCUACAGGUUGCGAGCCUGCUAGUGUUCCACUGGACUGUCUAGAAUAGUCCGUGGUCGUCAUCUAUACUCCGCUAGAUGACUGGAUCAUCAAUAACAUCUAUAACGAGGCCUCUCAUUAUUUUAUUUUGUCACACAGCAACUAUUACAUCUACCCAUGUUUUACCCAACACAUUUUGUAGAUAUAAAAUACAUAUACAGUUUAAAUCAUUGAAAACAUGUAUAAAACGUUCAUCCAGCAUAGAUAGCAAGUAUUCAGAUAAUAUGCACACAUAGCACGUAAUUUAUAUAAAAUACUUCAUAUCUAUGUGUAAGCUGAAAGUAACUAUGCACUCACCUGAGUAGGUGGUGACUCAGCACUCGGACAGCGCUUCGAUACUCUUAAAACGAUAUUCCUUCGAUAAAACCUAGUAUCGAUACCACUAGGGUUUAGUUUAACGAUAACCGCGACAAAUUAAUUAGUCCGAGUAUUAUUAAGCGUUAAUAAUACUCGAUAUAACUCAUAAUAAUAGCCCAAAUAAUUAUUUUAAGGACCUAAUAACAUUCCUAUAAUUAUUUGAAAGCUAUAUUAAAAAUUGCGUAAGCGUAGCACACUUACAGCGAAUUUUAUCGAAAACCGGAACUUAAUUGGAGCAGCGUUUCGAAACCGAAANNNNNNNNNNNNNNNNNNNNNNNNNNNNNNNNNNGGGGGGGGGGGGGUUAUAGCACUUAGAGAGAGAAAGUUUGUAGAGAGAGAAGUGAAACUGGUGUGAAAAAUGAAGAACUCUGGGCCCCCUUUUAUAGGCUGUGAGGCCUUGGUACGCUAGGCGUACCUCGGACCUACGCUGGGCGUAAUGGUUUGGAUAAGAGCGCCAGCGAGCUUCGUACGAGCCACGUGUUGGAUGAAGACCGAAGCUACACGGCUGCUUGUGGACCGAGGGGUGUAGCUGUACGCUGGGCAUACCGAGCUUCGGACGCUGGGCGUAGCGAGGGGCGACACGUCACUCAUCCAAGGCAGGUACUGAGUCAGCGAUGGAGGGUCCAGAUUAUGUCACGUCAUCGAUCGAGCAACAGGUUUUCGCAAUUUUGAGUCUAAACUUUAAAAAUUCGUAUCUUUCGCAUAUGAUCUCUGUUUUUGACGUUCUUUAUACUCACGCGAAUGUGAGAACGUACUCUACAACUUUCGUUUAGACUCCGUCGGCUAAUUUUGACUCGAUUUUAAAUUUUAUAUUAUUAACAGGCCAGGACAGGAUUGGUCCGUUAAAUCCUCAUAACUUCUUCAUCCGACGUCUGUUUUCGCUCAUCUUUUUCUCAUUACGCUACUUUGAACGAGAUCUUCGAUUCUCGUUUAGGUCGUGUCGGCUAAAAAUCGCUCGAUCUAAUAUUCGAAUUUCGGGCUGUACACUGCUAAUCCGAAACUUCGAAAAAUCAUAACUUCUUCAUACGAAGUCAGAUUUGGGCGUUCUUUUUAUCGAUGUUCUUAGUUUAACAUACUCUACGACUUUUGUUUAGAUCGCUAAGGCUAAAUCUCGCUCUAUCAUAAAUUCACUAUUUACGCUUCCCGGUGUCGUGCCGGUUCCGUCGCGAAUCUUCGACGGGUCAUAACUUCUUCGUUAUAACUCGGAUUUCGACAUUCUUUAUAUGUACGGAAACCUUAUGAAAUAUUCUACAACUUGGUUAGGAUUAUUUAUUCUAAAUAAUAUUUUGUCGAAAAGUCGUUUUCGACCCCUAUUGCCUCUAAUUGACUAGCCCGAAUUUGUGGGCGUUACAAUUAUCUCCCCCUUAGGAUGAUUACGUCCCGGAAUCAUCAACGAAACAUGGUCGUAUAAUGACUCCAUAAGUCAUCUCUUCAUCCUAGGUAAUAAUUAUAACUUCUACAUUCCUUCAAGUCUAUCUCUUAAACUCAUUGACUGUAAGAGUACUCGAUCGUGCACCUGCUCUCUACCUCAGGCUAGACUCCCAAUUAUGACCUUCAAGUCACAAUCUUGAUCCUUACUGGAUACGAACUUGAGAUGAUUUCUUUUAUUACUACUAUGGAUUGAUGUGUCAUAUUCUAAUGACCUAUCAUCGUAUGUUGCAACACUUAGACUUAGGUCUCUUAGAGUUAAAUUCUAAAAUAGACUAUGCCUUCCUUCAUGUUCUAAUGUGAUAUAAUCACACUUUAACAUUAGGCAUUUCUAGCUACCAACUUCUUUAACAACGAGUGCGAUAUUUCUAUUGAUCGUUUUGAUUUCAAUCGUUUGGUUUAAGUCGGACGCUACAUCGAUCUUGAUGUUCUAAACCACAUAGCAUACUUAGCAUAGUCGGACUCAAUUAGAUAUGACCACUAGGGUUGGAAUAUCAACAAUCUUCUAAGUCAUUAUCGAAACGAUGGUAACAACACACUUGAAUAAAAUGAAAUCAAUUACUAGUUUCUUGGUAACCUUGUGACUUUCCCUGAUGCAAGUGUGAGUCCUGUGCUUCCGAUAGUACAGGCCUCUACUACCAAUCACACCUACUCAUACUCGUCCCAAGUAUUGUCCCGUAGUUUCCUAAGUCAUCAUACAAGAAAAUCACAUAACAACUUAACACAUCAAAUAUUAAAACGAAGGUUUUAUUUUAUUCCUUGAAACGAUUACAUGGGUGUUCAAGUUCACCCUAGAUUAUGCCUCUAAUAGGCUACAUCAUAUGACACUAUCUAUAUGGCUUCUUCAUAACUCGAUCUCUAUAUAUCCAUCCUUACUCCUGAUUCCUUGCAUCGUCAGCUGCUUCGUCAAGGAUCAUUUGAAAUGCUCUUGCCUUUGGUUUUGGCGGCACAUUUGGCUUUGUAGCCCCUUCUCUCUUUGGGCAAUCUUGCUUGAAGUGCCCUUCCUCGUUACAUUCGUAACACACCCUUUUGUUGAAUUUACACUCGUUGGCAUAAUGCCCAUGCUUCCCACACUUGAAACAAGUCACCUCCUCACCGCAUUUUCCAGAGUGUUUCUUUUUGCACUUCUCGCACCAUCUUUCUUCACUCCCUCCUCUAAACUUCCUGGUACUGGUCUUGCUUCUCUCAUCGGGCUUCGCAGACCCCUCAAACUUCCUCUUUUCGCCAACCUCGGUCUUGUUGGCGGCUCUUCCCUUGAUCAUCUCCUCAGCCGACUUGGCAGCCCAGAUAGCUGCUUCCAAAGUAGGUGCCUGACGUACUGGCACCGCGUACUCCCAUGGAAGUCCUUUUACAUACUUAUCAACUUUCGUCAGCUCAUCCGGAACAAGAAGUAAGGCGAACUCCAUCUUCUCUGUGAAGUUGUUGGUGUAUUCAUCAACAGACAUGCUUCCUUUCUUCAAGGUAAGGAAUUGGUUUUCUAGCUCGAGCAGAUUUUGGGCUGAGCAAUACCUACAUUUGAAUUGCACCAGAAAUUCUGCCCAUGUCACUUGCAGGGGCUUAUUGGGGCUCAAAGUCUUCCCCAAGGAAUUCCACCAACAUAUAGCGUCUCCUCGAAACUGACGCACUGCAAAUGUGGUCUGUUGUUUUCCCUUGCAACCGCAUGUCAUGAAAGCUAAUUCCAUCUCCGAGAUCCAAUCCAUGACCCCGAUCGGAUCCUCCUUUCCAGUGAAAGUCGAUGGCUUGCAAGUCAGAAAAUCCUUGUACUUGCAUCCAUUCCUCUCGACUUCGUCAUCUUGGUUGUUUUGUCGAACUAUUGGUGGGUUGACUUGACCAACAGUCCCACUGUAGUUUCCUUCCUCAGUCUGCCCUUCGUUCAACUUGGGCUGUUCGAUCUGAAUAGUCGCUUCCUCUCGAUUUUGCUGGAGCAAACGUCUGGUUUCCUCCAUUUGACGAUCCAACAUUGCUUGGAUCAUCGCUUGCACUCCUGCCAUCGUUAUUGGCUCAGCAGCGGCUACCACAACCGGUAUUUGCUCAAUCGCUGGGGGUUGAUCUCGGUUCCCAUUUGCAUUCACGUUUCCGCUACGGGUUCUUGCCAUCUUGAUCUAUACGCCGAAUAAGGUGAAUCUAGACCUUUACUUAGGAUUGACGUUUAAAUCAUUCUUAUCACUCCGAAACGUUUAUAUGCUAGUUCUAAUAUCGUAGUUAAACGCUUAGAAUCCUAAACACAUAAGGUUUCCAGAUCCGGUCGGCAACAGACCAUAGAUCCGAACAAAUAACAGCAUAUCAGGCACAAGCAUUUAGCACAUAAAAGCAUUUUAGGCACAAUUCCUAAAAUAAUCUAGUGCUCACACCUCACAAUCAUCGCUUAGCAUUCUAAGUUUAAGUCUAGAAAUAAAUCCAUAUUCCUAGUUCGCUUAAACUAAUGCUCUGAUACCAACUGUGACAUCCCCAUUUUCACGGCCAGAAAAGACCGAUGUUGUUUAUGCUUUAUAAAAAUCAGAGUACUUCAUUUUAUAAAAAUGUUGCGGAAUUUGUUCCCAGAAAAACAUGGUAAAUACGUUAUUAAAACAUUUUCGAAGAAACGUAUUUAUUUCAUUUUAAAACGUUUGGGAUGUCAUCGUUAAUACAGAAACAUAAGCAUAAACAGAACUUACAAUUAUUUACACUAGUGAUCUACAUCUCUUUAAAUCUCUCAGUGUAAUGUCACUUCAUAUCAACACCUGUGAUAUAAAUAAACUGAGUGGGUCAGGUUGGGAAACCUGGUGAGUACAUAGGGUUUUCAACCCACAAUAAUAUAAUUAUUAUGUUUAAACAAUCAAACAAUCAACCCAAUUACCCAUCCCCAUUAUCUUCUUUAUUCUUAAGGAUCUACCCUAAGAAUCAGCUAUUUCUCAUUCAUUCAUUCCUAAGGAUCAUCCUAAGGAAACAACAUGAAGUCCAUUGUUGCCAAUGACACAUUGGUCAAGCGCAGCUGCUAAUAUUGUCACUUAGGCUCAGCUGCCAGAAUUAGGACAUUUUCUAUGAGGCGCUUCUGCCGGUAUUGACCUUUAAACACUACUGUCAUGGUCAUAAGGCUCCCUAUUAGGCGCANNNNNNNNNNNNNNNNNNNNNNNNNNNNNNNNNNNNNNNNNNNNNNNNNCACACAGUUCGAAUAAACACACAGUUCAAAUAAACACCUACAGGUUGCGAGCCUGCUAGUGUUCCACUGGACUGUCUAGUCUAGUCCGUGGUCGUCAUCUACACUCCGCUAGAUGACUGGAUCAUCAAUAACAUCUAUAAUGAGGCCUCUCAUUAUUUUAUUUUGUCACACAGCAACUAUUACAUCUACCCAUGUUUUACCCAACACAUUUUGUAGAUAUAAAAUACAUAUAAAGUUUAAAUCAUUGAAAACAUGUAUAAAACGUUCAUCCAGCAUAGAUAGCAAGUAUUCAGAUAAUAUGCACACAUAGCACGUAAUUUAUAUAAAAUACU